GACGAACGCUGGCGGCGUGCUUAACACAUGCAAGUCGAACGGAAAGGCCCUGCUUUUGUGGGGUGCUCGAGUGGCGAACGGGUGAGUAACACGUGAGUAACCUGCCCUUGACUUUGGGAUAACUUCAGGAAACUGGGGCUAAUACCGGAUAGGAGCUCCUGCUGCAUGGUGGGGGUUGGAAAGUUUCGGCGGUUGGGGAUGGACUCGCGGCUUAUCAGCUUGUUGGUGGGGUAGUGGCUUACCAAGGCUUUGACGGGUAGCCGGCCUGAGAGGGUGACCGGCCACUUGGGGACUGAGAUACGGCCCAGACUCCUACGGGGGGCAGCGGGGGGGAAUAUGACACAGGGGGCGGACGCGUGAUGCGGCGGCCCCGCGGGCGGAAUGACGGCCUUCGGGUUGUAAACCGCUUCCGCCUGUGACGAGGCGGGAGUGACGGUAAUGGAAAAAGAAGCCCCGGCUAACUCCGUG
rnacentral:rRNA from 1 species